AUACGGGAGGCAGCAGGGAGGAAUAUUGGGCAAUGGGCGCAAGCCUGACCCAGCAACGCCGCGUGGAGGACGAAGGCCUUCGGGUCGUAAACUCCUUUUGAGGGAGACGAGCAAGGACGGUAUCCCUCGAAUCAGCCACGGCUAACUACGUGCCAGCAGCCGCGGUAAAACGUAGGUGGCGAGCGUUAUCCGGAUUCAUUGGGCGUAAAGAGCUUGUAGGCGGCUUGGUAAGUUGGACGUGAAAACCCCGGGCUUAACUUGGGGAGGCCGUUCAAUACUGCCGGGCUGGAGGGUGUCAGAGGGCAGUGGAAUUCCUGGUGUAGCAGUGAAAUGCGUAGAUAUCAGGAGGAACAUCCGUGGCGAAGGCGGCUGCCUGGGGCGCACCUGACGCUGAGAAGCGAAAGCUAGGGGAGCAAACGGGAUUAGAUACCCCGGUAGU
rnacentral:rRNA from 1 species